rnacentral:rRNA from 1 species
UACGAAGGGGGCUAGCGUUGCUCGGAAUCACUGGGCGUAAAGGGUGCGUAGGCGGGUCUUUAAGUCAGGGGUGAAAUCCUGGAGCUCAACUCCAGAACUGCCUUUGAUACUGAGGAUCUUGAGUUCGGGAGAGGUGAGUGGAACUGCGAGUGUAGAGGUGAAAUUCGUAGAUAUUCGCAAGAACACCAGUGGCGAAGGCGGCACUCUGGGCCGGAACUGACGCUGAGGAGCGAAAGCGUGGGGAGCGAACAGG